rnacentral:lncRNA from 1 species
UCUCAAAAACCUUGGGCAUCUCAGGUAAGAGCUGAAAGUAGAGUGGGUAUAAAUUAUGGCCACAUUCUUCCCCUGUAUUUUGCCUAAAACCAUUCUUGAGGCCUUUUCAGUCCUUCAUCAGCCUUGGGCUGACUUUGUAAAUCAUGGCACAGAGAGUAAGACACCCCUCUCCAUGCAUGAGCUAUCCAGGUGUCUAAGUGUGUUGUGUCUGUAAGCAGGAGCUAAAUUGCCUGGGUUACAACCUAUGGGUAUCAGGAGCUGAAGGGUAAAGUCGUCCCUGUUAGUCAAUUAGAAACAGCUGAUCUUCAUAUUAUAGAUUGAAAGUCUGAGGAAUGAUAAUCGUCUAGUUACUAUGCCUUAAUCACUUCUAUGUGACAGGUAUCCCAGUGACAUGACCUCAGCUUGUUCUCAUAAUUAUCUUCCGAAGCAGUGAGAGGACAAGCUGAGUGUCCCUGUCACAUACUGGUCCAGAGUUUCCGUGGUGGAGGCAGCACUCGUGUAGGCACUUGGUGUUACAGACAACCUCUGGCCCGUGGAAGCUUUCCUGGAAUCAGACAGAAAAGACGAGUCUACAGAACCUCAGCAAUGGAAGAUAGCUAGCUGAGUUCUACCUUCUAAGACUGACUGACUAGUUCAGCUUCCUGUUCAUCAUCUGUGAAAUGGGUAGAGUGG